CUCAGUCAGGUGGAUGUGCCUGUUGAUGCGUGGAAAAUUUGGCAUACCAAUUCUCUGAUUUUGUUGCCAUAAGAAUUUUGAACAAUUUUCAUUUAGUUUACUUCCCUUUUUUCUUGCUGCUCUUCCUGUUUGCUGGAGAUUUUGGGAUUAAAAAAAAAAGAAAGUGGCUGAAGCACUAGGAGUAGAAAAAGCUGCGAUUCAUUCUGUGUUUCUUAGGCUGUCCAUAGUUUUUGAUACAGGUGCGGUUUUGGUUUUAGUUUGAGUUUUGCCUAGAAACCGAAAUUGACCAGAAAUU
rnacentral:misc_RNA from 1 species